AGCCCAGAGGGAGAAAGAACUAGAGAAAGAGUGCCAGGUAGGAAACAGAGUCAGAAGGAAAGCUCUCCAGGCAGGGAGACCUGGGAGAGACGCUGACUAACCAGAGAAGAGAUUGAGAGACCCACAGGGAAAGCAAGAAGCUUCAAGGUAGGAAGUUACCCAGGAUAACUGCAGCACAGGUAAAGGAGCAGACCAAGCUAUUCAGUACAGGGGUUUGGGCUGAAACCCCGAGUAGAGCGGAGGACUGGAUUUCCUUUUUGGGCCCUAAGAAAGGGGCAUACAAACCCACCCUAAGGCUUAUUGACUCCAGCAAAGGGGCAGUAGGCUGAGCUGAAGCUAGACUGAGGAAGAGCCCCAGAGAGAGGAAAGGAUUUUUGUUUGUUAGAUUUUUAGGAUAUUCACAAUUUCCAAAUUGAGUCCCUGCAAGGGGCCCGGAGGACCAAGUCACGGAAGAUGAACCACCUGAGUGACUGUUAGCACAGGGCCCUCAUGCAGCUAUACCAUGCCUGACCGUGAUGGAGCACCUAGUGAAGGGAGAAGCUGCAAGAAAAAGAAUCUAUGGAAAAUAGAAACCUUUUGUCCACUAGGAUUUAAGCACUCAGAACUGAAUCUUUAUAUAAUGUUUUCCGUGAGUCACCAGGAGCUCUCUGAGGAUCUUUAGCAGCUGACAAGGACACAUUUUAUGAAGGAAACAACAUGGGACAGAGAGCAAAAGACAGACUAGUAACAAUGUAAAGGCCUGCUGGAGAUGAAUUACCUAUAAAAGUCAAGGAACUGAGAGAGACCGAGCCAAAUGAGCAAGAAAGUCCUGGAACCAGGAGAAAAGAAAAGUCUAUUACUCAGCCUGCACUAUUAUCUGGUAGUUUGUUUAUGUGUUUAUUUUAUAACCACCAUCUCAAUUGGAACAAGUUGAUCCUUUCAUUUACAGUCUCAGGAAAGUGGCCAAAGUCUAAAUGAUCUUGGAGACUGAACUUCUCUUGCCUCCAGAGGCAGUCCCUAAAGAAUAGACUUAAGGCACAGUACCAAGGGGGGCUGCACUCCUGUUAUUUUGCCCAGAUGUGUUCUGUGGCUAGAGGACAUCCGUAUCCAAAGCUAUCAGCCUAGCACCUUCCACAAGUAUUACAUUUACUUACAGUUAAAAUAUUUUUUUUAAAAUAGACUUUCUGAUGUUCCAUAAAAUAUGCCUCAUCUGCUGUAUGGUUUAGUCUUGUCAGAACUGAAAUUAGGAUAACUAAGAAAUGCUCUUUCUACAGCAUCUGGCAGCAAUCAAAGGCUUAUAAUAUUUAGACUGAAGAGAAAUACAGUAGAAUGUUCCCAUUUGAGAAUGAAAAUGUAGAUUAUUACCACAACAUGCUGCCAUAAUUAUUACCACUGGCUGCAAAAACAUGGUUUGUAGUUUUACA